rnacentral:rRNA from 1 species
GACGAACGCUGGCGGCGUGCUUAACACAUGCAAGUCGAACGGAAAGGCCCUGCUUGCAGGGUACUCGAGUGGAGAACGGGUGAGUAACACGUGGGUGAUCUGCCCUGCACUUCGGGAUAAGCUUGGGAAACUGGGUCUAAUACCGGAUAGGAGCCAUCUUUAGUGUGGUGGUUGGAAAGUUUUUUCGGUGUAGGAUGAGCUCGCGGCCUAUCAGCUUGUUGGUGGGGUGAUGGCCUACCAAGGCGGCGACGGGUAGCCGGCCUGAGAGGGUGUACGGCCACAUUGGGACGGAGAUACGGCCCAGACUCCUACGGGAGGCAGCAGUGGGGAAUAUUGCACAAUGGGCGCAAGCCUGAUGCAGCGACGCCGCGUGGGGGAUGAAGGCCUUCGGGUUGUAAACUCCUUUCGCUAGGGACGAAGCUUUGUUGUGACGGUACCUAGAUAAGAAGCACCGGCUAACUACGUG